UCGGGAAUUUUGGGCAAUGGGCGCAAGCCUGAACCAGCCAUGCCGCGUGCAGGAAGACGGUCCUAUGGAUUGUAAACUGCUUUUAUUUGGGAAUAAACCUCCUUACGUGUAGGGAGCUGAAGGUACCAAAUGAAUAAGCACCGGCUAACUCCGUGCCAGCAGCCGCGGUAAUACGGAGGGUGCAAGCGUUAUCCGGAAUCAUUGGGUUUAAAGGGUCCGCAGGCGGAUUUAUAAGUCAGUGGUGAAAGCCUACAGCUUAACUGUAGAACUGCCAUUGAAACUGUAAGUCUUGAAUUCGGUCGAAGUGGGCGGAAUAUGACAUGUAGCGGUGAAAUGCAUAGAUAUCGUCAAGAACACCGAUAGCGAAGGCAGCUUACCAAGCUGUAACUGACACUGAGGCACGAAAGUGUGGGGAUCAAACAGGAUUAGAUACCCAAGUAGUCCCUGAGCGGGCUGGCAAGGCGCAU
rnacentral:rRNA from 1 species